rnacentral:rRNA from 1 species
GACGAACGCUGGCGGCGUGCUUAACACGUGCAAGUCGAACGGAAAGGCCCUGCUUUUGUGGGGUGCUCGAGUGGCGAACGGGUGAGUAACACGUGAGUAACCUGCCCUUGACUUUGGGAUAACUUCAGGAAACUGGGGCUAAUACCGGAUAGGAGCUCCUGCUGCAUGGUGGGGGUUGGAAAGUUUCGGCGGUUGGGGAUGGACUCGCGGCUUAUCAGCUUGUUGGUGGGGUAGUGGCUUACCAAGGCUUUGACGGGUAGCCGGCCUGAGAGGGUGACCGGCCACAUUGGGACUGAGAUACGGCCCAGACUCCUACGGGAGGCAGCAGUGGGGAAUAUUGCACAAUGGGCGGAAGCCUGAUGCAGCAACGCCGCGUGCGGGAUGACGGCCUUCGGGUUGUAAACCGCUUUCGCCUGUGACGAAGCGUGAGUGACGGUAAUGGGAAAAGAAGCACCGGCUAACUACGUG